rnacentral:rRNA from 1 species
GGAAACGACUGCUAAUACCCAAUAUGGCGAAAGCUGAAAAAUUUAUUGCCUUGAGAGGAGCUCGCGUCCGAUUAGUUAGUUGGUGGUGUAAGAGACUACCAAGACAGCGAUCGGUAGCUGGUCUGAGAGGAUGAGCAGCCACACUGGGACUGAGACACGGCCCAGACUCCUACGGGAGGCAGCAGUGGGGAAUUUUCCGCAAUGGGCGAAAGCCUGACGGAGCAAUACCGCGUGAGGGAGGAAGGCUUUUGGGUUGUAAACCUCUUUUGUUAAGGAAGAAGAAAGUGACGGUACUUAACGAAUAAGCAUCGGCUAACUCCGUGCCAGCAGCCGCGGUAAUACGGAGGAUGCAAGCGUUAUCCGGAAUCAUUGGGCGUAAAGCGUCCGCAGGUGGCUCAUCAAGUCUGCUGUUAAAGACAGAAGCUCAACUUCUGAUAGGCAGUGGAAACUGGUGAGCUAGAGUAUGGUAGGGGUUGAGGGAAUUCCCAGUGUAGCGGUGAAAUGCGUAGAUAUUGGGAAGAACACCAGUGGCGAAAGCGCUCAACUGGGCCAUAACUGACACUCGGGGACGAAAGCUAGGGUAGCGAAAGGGAUUAGAUACCCCUGUAGU